GACGAACCGUGCGAACGUUAUUCGGAAUCACUGGGCUUAAAGCGCGUGUAGGCGGAUGGGCACGUCGGCCACUGAAAGCCCCCGGCUCAACCGGGGAAGCGGUGCCGGGACGGCCCGUCUGGAGGGGCGUAGGGGGACCUGGAACUUCCGGUGGAGCGGUGAAAUGCGUUGAGAUCGGAAGGAACGCCCGUGGCGAAAGCGAGGUCCUGGACGUCAUCUGACGCUGAGACGCGAAAGCUAGGGGAGCGAACGGG
rnacentral:rRNA from 1 species